UACCAGUGACUGGCGCUGCCAUAACGGAUCCUUAUCACUAUCUGACGCAACAGCACUUCACCUCAGAGAUCUUCAAGAUUGAGAUCCAAAACCUCCCAAGACAUUUUGGAUUUGCGCUGCCAAGAAGAUAAGGAGGAGGCAUUGAAAGUACUUAACGGACACAAAUGGAAAGGACAAGUGCUCAAAGCCAAGGUUCACAUUCCCGCAGUGACUCUCCGUAGCUCGCCAAGCCAGUUGAGGACCCGGACACUAAGAGCCUCGCUCUGAAGAGAAGCCAAGAGGCAUCUGAUGGAAACACCCAAGAAGCUAAGAGGAGGAAGGAGGAGGACAGCUGACCAGUAGAAGAGAGGUUAAACAACACGGUGACUCCACUGUGGAACCAGCCAUAUGAGGACCAGCUAUCCACCAAACAGACCAACACCAGAGAGUUUCUGAGGAAUUUAUCCAAGAUGCUGCAACGGAACAUUGGGGAGAUGUCUCCCUGGCUGAAGCAACAAAGGUGAGCUACCCGCCAAAGACAUGGGAUGGUUGUGGGCCAGAAUGGAAAUGUAAUCUCCCUUGACAAAAUGUUUCCAGACAUAGUUCUCUGGCCAGUGGACUUACAUACUGUACAGCUGUCCUGAAUAUUGAUAACACUGUUGGUUUCCGGUUUGGCGCUUACAAAGGUCUUGACCCAUAAGAUAACCAUUUCACCAGCACCUCUG